rnacentral:rRNA from 1 species
AAAGCACUUUCAGUCGUGAAGGAAGGURGUGUAGUUAAUAGCUGCAUUAUUUGACGUUAGCGACARAAGAAGCACCGGCUAACUCCGUGCCCASCAGCCGCGGUAAUACGGAGGGGUGCGAGCGUUAAUCGGAAUUACUGGGGCGUAAAGCGCAUGCAGGUGGUUUUGUUAAGUCAGAUGUGAAAGCCCGGGGGCUCAACCUCGGAAUAGCAUUUUGAAACUGGCAGACUAGAGUACUGUAGAGGGGGGGUAGAAUUUUCAGGUGUAGCGGUGAAAUGCGUAGAGAUCUGAAGGAAUACCGGUGGCGAAGGCGGCCCCCUGGACAGAUACUGACACUCAGAUGCGAAAGCGUGGGGAGCAAACAGGAUUASAUACCCUGGUAAUCCACGCCGUAAACGAUGUCUACUUGGAGGUUGUGGCCUUGAGCCGGGGGUUUCGGAGCUUACCCGUUAAAUAAACCCGCCUGGGGAGUACGGUCGCAAGAUUAAAACUCCAAUGAAUUGACGGGGGCCCGCCCAAGCCGUUGGAGCAUGUGGGUUUUUAUUUCGAUGCCACGGGAAAGAAACCUUAAUCUACUCUUUGWAAUUCCYAGAAGAAACUUUCUCAGAAGAUUGGAUUUGGUGUCCUUCCGGAACUUCGAAAAACAGGCASCUGCCAUGGGCYUGUCGUCCAGCUUCGAUGUUGA